GAUGAACGCUGGCGGCGUGCCUAAUACAUGCAAGUCGAGCGAACAGACGAGGAGCUUGCUCCUCUGACGUUAGCGGCGGACGGGUGAGUAACACGUGGAUAACCUACCUAUAAGACUGGGUAACUUCGGGAAACCGGAGCUAAUACCGGAUAAUAUAUUGAACCGCAUGGUUCCAUAGUGAAAGACGGUUUUGCUGUCACUUAUAGAUGGAUCCGCGCCGCAUUAGCUAGUUGGUAAGGUAACGGCUUACCAAGGCGACGAUGCGUAGCCGACCUGAGAGGGUGAUCGGCCACACUGGAACUGAGACACGGUCCAGACUCCUACGGGAGGCAGCAGUAGGGAAUCUUCCGCAAUGGGCGAAAGCCUGACGGAGCAACGCCGCGUGAGUGAUGAAGGUCUUCGGAUCGUAAAACUCUGUUAUUAGGGAAGAACAAAUGUGUAAGUAACUAUGCACGUCUUGACGGUACCUAAUCAGAAAGCCACGGCUAACUACGUG
rnacentral:rRNA from 1 species